rnacentral:piRNA from 1 species
UGAUGGAUACAAGCUGGACAAGCAGC